GGGGAAUAUUGCACAAUGGGCGAAAGCCUGAUGCAGCGACGCCGCGUGCGGGAUGAAGGCCUUCGGGUUGUAAACCGCUUUUGAUUGGGAGCAAGCGAGAGUGAGUGUACCUUUCGAAUAAGCACCGGCUAACUACGUGCCAGCAGCCGCGGUAAUACGUAGGGUGCAAGCGUUAUCCGGAAUUAUUGGGCGUAAAGAGCUCGUAGGCGGUUUGUCGCGUCUGGUGUGAAAGUCCAUCGCUUAACGGUGGAUCUGCGCCGGGUACGGGCAGGCUAGAGUGCGACAGGGGAGACUGGAAUUCCCGGUGUAACGGUGGAAUGUGUAGAUAUCGGGAAGAACACCAAUGGCGAAGGCAGGUCUCUGGGUCGUCACUGACGCUGAAGAGCGAAAGCGUGGGGAGCGAACAGGAUUAGAUACCCUGGUAGUCCACGCCGUAAACGGUGGAUGCUGGAUGUGGGGCCCAUUCCACGGGUUCCGUGUCGGAGCUAACGCGUUAAGCAUCCCGCCUGGGGAGUACGGCCGCAAGGCUAAAAC
rnacentral:rRNA from 1 species